rnacentral:lncRNA from 1 species
GGAGGAAGAAGAGAUUCAGGCCUCCUGCUCAGACCCUGGUGGCACUGCAGAAAGAAGCCAACAAAGUUGGUGAAAGGACUAUGCUGUUGGGAAGAUUCUGCGGUGGGCUUCCUACUGAGGCCUCUGAGCCGGUAUACAGUAUGGCUGUCUGACCAGAGCUCCCAAAGCCUCCUGCCAGGUAUCUACUACAUCAUCAA